AAACCAGCCAAGGAGUCUGCUUACCUGAAUAUGUUUCUGCAGAAAUUUAGAGAAAGCUGGCAAUAGUAAAGCCAUGUCACAAACCUUAGACUCAUUAAAGUCAUUUGGGUCCCUGAAGAUUGCUAAGCAG